AUGUCUUCCUCCGGCUCCUCCCAGUUCGGCCUCAACAACCAGGUCACGGAGAAGCUCACCCGUACGAACUACGUACUGUGGCGCGUCCAGAUCACGCCGCAGCUAAGGGGAGCUGGCGUCUUCGGCUAUGCCGACGGCAGCACGCCGGAGCCAGCCCGCUUCCUUCCUGGCAAGGACAAGGACGGCAAGGACUCCACCGAGCCCAACCCUCUCCACCCAAUCUGGGUCCGGGAGGAUCAACAAGUGCUCGGGUACCUGCUCAACAAUCUCUCCAAAGAGGUGUUGGUGCAAGUGACCGCCAUCACCACGACGCACGCGCUCUGGACAACCCUGGCGGCCAUGUUCUCCUCGCAGUCGCUUAGCCGCAUCAACAACAUCCGCACGGCUCUGCUUCAUGCGCAGAAGGGAACUCAGCCGGUCGCCACCUUCUUCGCCCACAUGCGCGGCCUCGCUGAUGAACUCGCCGCGGCCGGCAAGCCGCUGCAAGACGACUAG
rnacentral:rRNA from 1 species